CACUCCUGCGGGAGGCAGCAGUGGGGAAUUUUGGACAAUGGGCGAAAGCCUGAUCCAGCAAUGCCGCGUGAGUGAAGAAGGCCUUCGGGUUGUAAAGCUCUUUUGUCAGGGAAGAAACGGUGAGAGCUAAUAUCUUUUGCUAAUGACGGUACCUGAAGAAUAAGCACCGGCUAACUACGUGCCAGCAGCCGCGGUAAUACGUAGGGUGCAAGCGUUAAUCGGAAUUACUGGGCGUAAAGCGUGCGCAGGCGGUUUUGUAAGUCUGAUGUGAAAUCCCCGGGCUCAACCUGGGAAUUGCAUUGGAGACUGCAAGGCUAGAAUCUGGCAGAGGGGGGUAGAAUUCCACGUGUAGCAGUGAAAUGCGUAGAUAUGUGGAGGAACACCGAUGGCGAAGGCAGCCCCCUGGGUCAAGAUUGACGCUCAUGCACGAAAGCGUGGGGAGCAAACAGGAUUAGAUACCCGGGUAGUCCCA
rnacentral:rRNA from 1 species